AUUCCAGCUCCAGUAGUGUAUAUCAAAGUUGACGCGGUUAAAAGGCUCGUAGUUGGAUUGUGGCUAUCUCUGCCCGGGGUCCGGGUCUUUGAAUCCGGGGCCGGACAGGAGCCAAUUUCAAGCAGUUCCAUUUUUGGGAUUGUUUGAGUGUACUUUGAACAAAUUAGAGUGCUCAAGACAGGCGUACAUAUGCCGUGAAUAGAUUAGCAUGGAAUACAAGUAUAAACCUACUAGCGUGAAGCGUUUGUCUUUUUGCGUUAGAGGAAUGAUGGAUAGGGACAGAGUGUGGGCGUUGAGAUUGUGGCGUCAGAGGUGAAAUUCUUAGAUCGUCGCAGGAUGGGCUGGAGCGAAAGCAUUCGUCAAGGAUGUUUUCAUUA
rnacentral:rRNA from 1 species